rnacentral:rRNA from 1 species
CGUGGGGUAGGGGAGCGUUCUGUAAGCCGUUGAAGGUGGUCUGUAAGGGCUGCUGGAGGUAUCAGAAGUGCGAAUGCUGACAUGAGUAACGAUAAAGGGAGUGAAAAACUCCCUCGCCGGAAGACCAAGGGUUCCUGUCCAACGUUAAUCGGGGCAGGGUAAGUCGACCCCUAAGGCGAGGCCGAAAGGCGUAGUCGAUGGGAAACGGGUUAAUAUUCCCGUACUUCUUACAAUUGCGAUGGGGGGACGGAGAAGGCUAGGUGGGCCUGGCGACGGUUGUCCAGGUUCAAGUACGUAGGCGGAAGAAUUAGGUAAAUCCGGUUCUUCAUUAACGCUGAGAUACGAUGUCGAGCUACUACGGUAGUGAAGUCAUUGAUGCCAUGCUUCCAGGAAAAGCCUCUAAGCUUCAGAUUGUAAGGAAUCGUACCCCAAACCGACACAGGUGGUCGGGUAGAGAAUACCAAGGCGCUUGAGAGAACUCGGGUGAAGGAACUAGGCAAAAUGGUACCGUAACUUCGGGAGAAGGUACGCUCUUAUCAGUGAAGUCCCUUGCGGAUGGAGCAGACGAGAGUCGCAGAUACCAGGUGGCUGCAACUGUUUAUUAAAAACACAGCACUGUGCAAAAUCGUAAGAUGACGUAUACGGUGUGACGCCUGCCCGGUGCCGGAAGGUUAAUUGAUGGGGUUAGACUUCGGUCGAAGCUCUUGAUCGAAGCCCCGGUAAACGGCGGCCGUAACUAUAACGGUCCUAAGGUAGCGAAAUUCCUUGUCGGGUAAGUUCCGACCUGCACGAAUGGCGUAAUGAUGGCCACGCUGUCUCCACCCGAGACUCAGUGAAAUUGAAAUCGCUGUGAAGAUGCAGUGUACCCGCGGCUAGACGGAAAGACCCCGUGAACCUUUACUACAGCUUGGCACUGAACAUUGAACCUACAUGUGUAGGAUAGGUGGGAGACUUUGAAACCGCGUCGCUAGAUGUGGUGGAGUCGUCCUUGAAAUACCACCCUUGUAGUUUUGAUGUUCUAACGUUGGUCCCUGAAUCGGGAUUACGGACAGUGCCUGGUGGGUAGUUUGACUGGGGCGGUCUCCUCCCAAAGAGUAACGGAGGAGCACGAAGGUGGGCUAAACACGGUUGGACAUCGUGUGGUUAGUGCAAUGGCAUAAGCCCGCUUGACUGCGAGAAUGACAAUUCGAGCAGGUGCGAAAGCAGGUCAUAGUGAUCCGGUGGUUCUGAAUGGAAGGGCCAUCGCUCAACGGAUAAAAGGUACUCCGGGGAUAACAGGCUGAUACCGCCCAAGAGUUCAUAUCGACGGCGGUGUUUGGCACCUCGAUGUCGGCUCAUCACAUCCUGGGGCUGAAGUCGGUCCCAAGGGUAUGGCUGUUCGCCAUUUAAAGUGGUACGCGAGCUGGGUUUAGAACGUCGUGAGACAGUUCGGUCCCUAUCUGCCGUGGGCGUUGGAAAAUUGAAGGGGGCUGCUCCUAGUACGAGAGGACCGGAGUGGACGAACCUCUGGUGUUCGGGUUGUCAUGCCAAUGGCAUUGCCCGGUAGCUAAGUUCGGAAUCGAUAACCGCUGAAAGCAUCUAAGCGGGAAGCGAGCCCUGAGAUGAGUUUUCCCUGAC